rnacentral:rRNA from 1 species
UACGUAGGGUGCGAGCGUUGUCCGGAAUUAUUGGGCGUAAAGGGCUUGUAGGCGGUUUGUCGCGUCUGCUGUGAAAAUUCGGGGCUUAACCCCGGACGUGCAGUGGGUACGGGCAGACUAGAGUGUGGUAGGGGAGACUGGAAUUCCUGGUGUAGCGGUGAAGUGCGCAGAUAUCAGGGAGAACACCGAUGGCGAAGGCAGGUCUCUGGACCACGACUGACGCUGAGAAGCGAAAGCAUGGGGAGCGAACAGG